UUAAAAGGAGCUGUUUCUGUGAAAUAAAUCAGUCUUCUCUUGGUCUCCACUCAGGCUUGAGUGUUCUUUCCUUUCUCAAUCCUCACUCCCCAACUCAGGCACGUUAGUGUGGUGAUGGCUGGACCGCCACAAGUGGCGCCUGAACAGGGACCUGAGUAUUGAGGGAUCCAGUGAAGGACACCGCUGGAUAAAGAAUAAAAGGAGAUCUCGACAAAAACAAAAAAGAGGACCUUCAAAAGGAAGGCAGAAGAGGAGUGUCCUUUAGGAUUGGAGACUUCAACAAGUCAGAAGGAG
rnacentral:lncRNA from 1 species